rnacentral:rRNA from 1 species
GUGGGGAAUAUUGGACAAUGGGCGCAAGCCUGAUCCAGCAAUGCCGCGUGGGUGAAGAAGGUCUUCGGAUCGUAAAGCCCUUUCGACAGGGACGAUGAUGACGGUACCUGUAGAAGAAGCCCCGGCUAACUUCGUGCCAGCAGCCGCGGUAAUACGAAGGGGGCUAGCGUUACUCGGAAUUACUGGGCGUAAAGGGCGCGUAGGCGGCUCUGUUAGUCAGGCGUGAAAUUCCUGGGCUUAACCUGGGGACUGCGCUUGAUACUGCAGGGCUUGAGGCCGAGAGAGGGUGGUGGAAUUCCCAGUGUAGAGGUGAAAUUCGUAGAUAUCCGGAGGAACACCAGUGGCGAAGGCGGCUUCCUGGACAGUAACUGACGCUGAGACGCGAAAGCGUGGGGAGCAAACAGGAUUAGAAACCCCGAGUAGUCC